UACGAAGGGGGCUAGCGUUGCUCGGAAUUACUGGGCGUAAAGGGCGCGUAGGCGGACAGUUUAGUCAGAGGUGAAAGCCCAGGGCUCAACCUUGGAAUUGCCUUUGAUACUGGCUGUCUUGAGUUCGGGAGAGGUGAGUGGAAUGCCGAGUGUAGAGGUGAAAUUCGUAGAUAUUAGGAAGAACACCAGUGGCGAAGGCGGCUCACUGGUCCGGUACUGACGCUGAGGUGCGAAAGCGUAGGGAGCAAACAGG
rnacentral:rRNA from 1 species